UGUGGUUUAACAGUUCGAUUGUAUUUUUCAGUUGGAGGACAGCCCGGCGUAGGACGCCCCGGAGGAUGGAAUAAUGGACCGAUUGGAGGACAGCCCGGCGUAGGAGGCCCCGGAGGAUGGAAUAAUGGGCCUAUUGGAGGACAGCCCGGCGCAGGAGGCCCCGGAGGAUGGAAUAAUGGACC